CAUGCCUGUGCGGAUAGGCCCUGUGCGCCUGGGGCCUGCGCACAGUAGGUUUGCACGCGCGACAGGAGGCAUGUGUGCCUGCAGGCUAGCCUGUAGUGCGCCAGCUGGGGCACUGCUACCUUUUUUUCUCGUCCUUCAACUUUGCCUUGAUCUUCACCGUUGGUCUUGAAAGAGAUCCAACUACUACAAACUUUAAAAAAUUCGAUUGUUGUGAGGUUCAACAGCUUUUAAAAGGAGACCAUCUCCCUCUUUUCUUUACUUCUUUUAUAACCUAGAUUAAAGCCACAGAGCCUUGUAGAGAGAAAAAGAGAGAUAGAAAGGAGAAGAAUGAGCAGAAGAAGAAGGCAAACAAAGAAAAAAAAAAUAGAAACGGCCAGCAAUGGCUUCAAGACCGAUUAGUUCCCAACAAGCAAUAAGAGGUGUGGCAGAUUUAGGAGGAGCAGGAAAGCAAUAGAAGAAAGCUGUUGCAGACGGAAGAAACCGACAUGCUCUUGGCGAUAUUGGAGUUUCUGCGCACAACUAUUAGCCAAUGCUCAAGCGGCUGCUGUGGGUGAGCACAACAAGGCUUGCUUUGAAAUGCAGAAACAAAUUUGUGUUAAGGUUCAGAAGGCCUCAGUUGCUGUUGCUGGAGCUGCAAUGAACAAAAGAGUUGUGAUACCAAAAACAGGUGAGAAGAAAGCCAUUGUUAAGCUAAAGCCUGAUGAAGUAAUAGUGAGAAGCCUAGACAUAGAAGAAAAGGUGAAUGCUAGAAAGCAAGAAAAAGCUCCAAUCAACAAGAAUAAGGAUACAGAAGGAUCAUCCAAGAAGAUUUCUUACACUUCAAUCCUAACUGCUCGAAACAAG